GUUGUGGGUUAAGAAACAGAUAACGCCCCCAGCCAUUCGUUUGCUUGUGUUUUAUAAGCGCUUUUGCUCUCCCCCGUUUUCCCCUUUCCGCUGCGGAGUUCCGGCGCUCUUCGCUCCCGCUUCUUUCCGGAGCUCCGUCGAGCAGCUACCACCAAUCCCAAAGCGGCGGACGCAGGAGCUGGGUGACUGCUUCGCUGGGCCGCCGUUCUCCGAGGAAGCAGGGGGAUCCGCCGUCCCUCCGAGGGCGAUAGAGACACCGCCGAGGCCUUCCGCUGCCUCCCUUGACGCCGCGCUACCCCCUCGUCGCCCUCCGAAGCCGAAGCCGCCGCCGCCAUCGCGUGUCGUCGUUGUACGUCGCACACUUUCACAUGGCAAACUCCCUACCUCCGUUUACCCUACUAGUCCCCUGUCCCGUGCAACGACAACUGAUGUAGCUCCCAAGUUUUCUUGGACCAAACUGACAAAACCUACUUCUUCUGUUGCUUUGUGACGAACAGGUGUUAUAAUGUAGACUUCUAUAGAUGUCUUUCGUUCUUCUUUGUUAGUAGAGUACCUCCCUAGGUCUUCGUCGUUGUCUUAAUCGUAACUCGAAAGUCCUCCGACGUCCCACGAGGAUGUAUACCCUGUUGUAGACACUAUAAGUCUCUUUGGAAGUCAAAUCAUUGGAACCGCCAGAACUUCAACCAGGAGCAGGUCGAAGCCUUGUAGAUCUUCGGAGAUCUCAUAACGUAAGUGUGCUACUCAGGAAAGCGAGACAAUUGCCACUUGACUCCCUUGAAGGUGGACAACUAAACAGGUUAGAAGGAAACUAAAACUUCUGAUAUAACCUCCCACCGUAAUGUCUAGUUUACGCACACCGGCUCAACUAUUGUGUUCUAGCACUAAAAAAGGGGUUCGACGACCUAUAAAAAUCUUACACACUCCUAAAUCUCUUAAAUCUACUAGAGGUGUACUAUAAGUUUAACCAGUCCCCUUAGUAUAACGACUUGUCAGGUAGCUAGAAACUAUUCUAUAAGAGACUACUCAAAUAAGAACUGUAGUAUCCGCGGGAACUUAUACUAGGUCUCCAACGAUUUCACGUUUUCGUAGCGUAAAAAGACUUCCUAGUACAUCAAAAGUUUCUCCGGUAUGGAUAAUUUUUAUAAAGACACCAAAGUUCCUAUGUAGUUUGCAUGUCUUAUCCCAUAGAUUUCCUACAAUAUAAUGGGUCUUAUAAUCUACUACGGUGAGACCGAUCAGAAUUGUGCUAAUAUGUGUGCUUGUUACGACGACAAUAAAGGAAUGACUUCCUACUACGAACGAAAUAGGUUCUGAAUAAGAGAUCCUACUCUAGUGGUUUAUAAAGAUACCUUAGCUUUUCUCUUAACCAGGACAAGAACGUACUCAAGACGUGAGAAUCAUUCUCAAACGGCGAACAUGUUGUUGAUGCUGACAAAGCCCUAGAAAGUCCACUUCCACAUAAACUUUAACAUAGACUACACAACGUCUCAGUUCUGUCUUUUUAACAAAGCCGACCCUGCCUAUAGCAAUAAGAAAAAGAAUUAGUCCUGGGAUUGGAUAACUCCAGUAUAUAACAGGUCGUUCUUCCUUUAAGAGAAGAACCUGAAAACCAAUUUCCUUACCAUUGACUGAAACCACUCGUUUACGUGACAGUUAAAGACCUUUAGGAGGCAUAUAAUUACCUAAGAAAGUGAUACAGACCUCGUGUAUCUCUGCAUUAAUAACUCUAAAAGAUACUUUCCGUGGAACUGAUAAACCAACUACAUUAUCGUAGGAGAACAGGAAGCUCCUCACGAUGGGCUUGUAGUGGAUUGAGUCGACAGCAACCACCUUUGUGACUUCACGUAGCAUAGUUCGGUCUUUAAGACAAUUUACAGACGCUUGAUAAUACGAAAACACAUCAGGUAGUAGGGAUAUCUUAAUUCACGUUGAAGGAAUACUUGUUACGCUAUCUCUUUUAGGAAUGGUACUGAGCUGCUUCACUCUUCAAAAACCAACAACGUCGACAGUCCAAAUACGCGUGAUAAUAUAGGUCUUUACUACUUGUAGAAUAAGCGGUACAACAGUUCAAAUUGAACAACUUUGGUUAUUAACUGCGGAAACACCUUUUACCCCUAUCUAUAUUGUACGAUGUUAGACCUCAUGAGCUUGACAACCUUGUGUAUGCCUUCCUUUUAGAUUUUGGAGAACAAUAAAUACAAUGGCUCAGAAAGAGUCUAGUUGAAUACUUCAAACUUGUGAAGCCCUCGUAAGUCCGGAAGUUUGAGUUCAUAGUUGUCAUGAACCUCUCACGGCUAUACUUUAAUUCACGAUCACACGGACUGUACUCUUUCUUCCGUCUUCCUUCUCCAGAACUCUUCCUUCUCCUUCUAAUAAAGUUGCUCUCACUGCUCCUUCUAAAUCAUUCCGCCUGAUUUGUACGUGUGUCACUUGUAUUACUUCUUUCGUUCCUACUACAUCGGUUACCUUCGCUUUGACCACUGUAUAGGAGUUCCGGAUUUAGACCACCCGAACACCUGAUACGACUACUACUACUGCUCCUAAAGUUAGGCGGUGGGUUCCUCGGACUAUCCGGACACCUACUGCUACUCGAGAAUUGAUAUAGGUGUCACUUCGCCUUUAAUCAUUUGUGCCCCCUACCGUUUGUACGUCUACCCCUCCAAGCGUUCUCUGUUUUCUAACUUUGUUCCUAAUGAACACGGUUCUAAAGACGAAACUGAUUAGACCGAUCGUUUGUGUUCCUAAGUGAACGGAGUUCGAGCGGUUCAACGCUCCGGUUACCACAAAACCCUCUCGUACGAUGUGUAAGACUACUCGUAGUUGUAAGGGGUCUGUGACGUCUUUGGAGUGCCGUUCAACCGCCACUAACAUAGUUUCGUUACCCGUCAAACAGAUCACUCUUCCGACAUUUAUGGUGGUUUUGUUUGCUAAGUCUCGGGAUAAGUCACUCUACUGUUUAACUGUCGAGAAGAGGUGUGACCGAACGGGGUCCUAUGCUGGCUAGUUACGAACGGUUGUCCUUCCUUGUUGUACAAAAACCGAGACCUCUUCCGACUUAGAUAAUUAGAGUUUAGGUCUUCGUACUAAGCUCCACUACAUUUAGUGUGAAGAGACAUUUAGAACUUACUUUAACGUCGAUGGUAGUGUCGGACAUUUCAUUAAGAAGGUCUUCCUUUCUAUACUUUUACUCUUAACCGUACGGAAAGCCAAGUCGUAAUUAGCUCAGUGGAGAGAGAAAGAUAUAUAUAGAGAAAGAGAGAGAUAUAUCUCUCUCGUUACUUAUAUACUUUGACUCUUAACCGUACGUGAAAGAGGGCAUAACGAAAGAUCCUAGUAACCGCCUCUACAACUACAACAUUUUGUUCACCCGUUCUUAUCAAAGUCAACUCUCACUAUAAUAGGUAUAGAAUGUCAACAUUAAACAGCUAAUCAUCAAAACCGACCUAUAUGAAACUGAACCUACUCAUUAAUUAAAUAUACUAUCUUAUUAAAUAAGUUUUCCAACUUGUUCUCAUUAAAACUUACUUAUAUACCGGUACAGAAAGUCAGACCCUAAACAU
rnacentral:rRNA from 1 species